UACGAAGGGGACUAGCGUUGUUCGGAAUUACUGGGCGUAAAGCGCGCGCAGGCGGUUCGUCAAGUUGGGGGUGAAAUCCCCGGGCUCAACCCGGGAAUGGCCUUCAAAACUGUCGAGCUAGAGGACGAGAGAGGUGAGUGGAAUUCCCAGUGUAGAGGUGAAAUUCGUAGAUAUUGGGAAGAACACCGGUGGCGAAGGCGGCUCACUGGCUCGUUUCUGACGCUGAGGCGCGAAAGCGUGGGGAGCAAACAGG
rnacentral:rRNA from 1 species